rnacentral:lncRNA from 1 species
GCGCGGUUCACAGUGAGAAUAAGAUCUUGGGCGUGAUCCAACGGUUGAGAUUCAAUCCGAUCCAGAUCCGACGGUUCAGACCCGUUGCCGACUUUGAAUAGGACUCUUUUGCACGAUUCGAUGGCCCAGAAGCAAUCCAUCACGCGAUCCAACGGUUGUUAUCACUCCCGACUGUGUUAAGGACUCUUUGCGCGAUCCGACGGCCAAAACUUCAUCAGAACCCAGAUCGGACGGCUGACAUUUGAUCCGACCCUGAUAAGGAUUAUAACUCUGAUUUUUGAGCAGAUCUGGGCGGUCCGAAGCUGAUCCGACGGCCAGGAAUAUUCCUAAGGAGAUUUAUACGAUUUCUAAGAGUUUUAGGACUCCUUUUCCUA